GCCGGGGUGGCGGAACUGGCAGACGCACAGGACUUAAAAUCCUGCGAUCAUUUCGAUCGUACCGGUUCGAUUCCGGUCCUCGGCA
rnacentral:tRNA from 3 species